rnacentral:lncRNA from 10 species
AUGCAGGCAAAUCCCAGGAUCUGCAGUAUGAGUUCGAAAGCUGGAGACCCUGGAGAGUCAAAGGUUUAGUUCCAGUCUGAAGGCCAGGAAGCUCAAGACUCAGGAGGAGCUGCGGUUUCAGUUCAAGUCCAGAAGCAGGAAAAUUUCUCUUACUUGGGAGAAGAUUUGCCUUUUGUUCUACUCAGGCUUUCAAUUGAUUUGAUGAGACCCACCCACAUGAGGGAGGACAAUCUCCUUUCCUCAAUCUGCUGGUUUAAAUAUCAUCAGCUUAGGCAAAAAUUGUGCAAACAAGAUUCACUGUGUCCAGACUACCAACAGUUUUAUUUUUCUCCUGUCUUAUGACUCCCGUUUUUGCCUUUGUUUCCUGGCUCAUUCUACCAACUGACUCCUCAUGUGAGUAAACAAUAUGAGUGCAAAAUAAAC